rnacentral:rRNA from 1 species
GAUUUCUACCUGACCGUCCUGGCCCGCUUCCUUUUCGGGAAGUGAGUGCUGAGAUGAGUCUGGUAUCCUUAUCGAGAGCCAGACCUAUCCUUCACUGGAUUGGGCCUUGUGCGAUCGAUAACUUUUACUUUGAAAAAAUUAGAGUGUUUAAAGCAGGCUUAUGCUUCUGAAUACAUUAGCAUGGAAUAAUAAUAUAGGACUUCGGUUCUAUUUUGUUGGUUUCUAGGACUGAAGUAAUGAUUGAUAGGGAUAGUUGGGGGUGCUAGUAUUCCGCGGCCAGAGGUGAAAUUCUUGGAUUCGCGGAAGACUAACUAAUGCGAAAGCAUU